AUUGAACGCUGGCGGCAGGCUUCACACAUGCAAGUCGAACGAGUGGCGGAAGGGUUAGUAAUGCAUGGGAAUCUAGCUUAUGGAGGAGGAUAACUACGGGACACUGUAGCUAAUACCGUGUUCCAUAGGAUGGGCCCAAGUGUGAUUAGGUAGGUGGUGAGGUAAAGGCUCACAAAGCCGACGCUCUCUCGUUGGUAUGAGAGGAGGACCAGCCACACUGGGACUGAGACACGGCCCAGACGCCUACGGGAGGCAGCAGUGGGGAAUAAUGCACAAUGGGGGCAACACUGACUCAGCCAUGCCGUGUGUAUGAAGAAGGCCUUCGGGUUUUAAAGUUCUUUCGGUAGGGAGGCGUUAACUACAGAAUAAGCACCGGCGAACUCCGUGCCAGCAGCCGCGGUAAUAC
rnacentral:rRNA from 1 species